rnacentral:rRNA from 1 species
GAUAGUCCACUGGUAAACGGUGGGCCCGGCCGCAAGGUUGGGAUAUGUGUACCGGGCGGAAGCCGGAGCAUGCUAUUCGUCUGUUGGGCUGUCUAGUCAGUGCACUUUCUCUGUGGUGAACACCACGACCGGUGGAAUUGCCAGUCUGCUGUAGUCAAGUCGUAUUCAGUCGGUUCUUGUAGUCAACUGGGUGCGAUCACAGGCAAACUCAGUAAACGGCGUAGGGGUGUCUCGGCAUCCUUACGUGUUAUCGGCUGCUGGUUGUCAACGGGCCUGCUUGAUGAUUGUUGUAACCGUCAUUAGGUGGUCUGGUGGGCUAUGGUGGUAAGAAUAACUGUGCAAGGCAUCGGAGUUCUCGGCCUCAAAUGCAUCCUGCAUACACGUUACAAGUGGAGUGGGGUGCCAUUGCAGCCUGCCUGUUGUUGGGUCUGAUUGUCGUGUCGCCUGCGCAAAGUGGGCCCGGCAGUGGCCUGAUGCGGGAUGGGUUGUGGAUGGUGCCUCCUGUGUAGGGUGUGGUGGGUCAAAUAGUCAGUGGUGUAGUGGUAGACGAGCUACCCGACCCGUCUUGAAACACGGACCAAGGAGUUUAACAUGUAUGCAAGUCAAGGGGUCCUACGAAACCCAAAGGCGCAGUGAAAGUAAAGCUUCGACUUGUCUCGGAGUGAGGUGAGAUCCUGCCGUUACUCGCAUCAGUCUUUUGUCAGCAUCAGGCUAAGAGCGGUGGGCGCAUCACCGGCCCGUCCCAUGAUGUGGUCAUUGGAUGUCUGCAGUCGUUGCUUGCAGCGGCUGUGGUGCCAGUGCGUCAUCGGGGCGGAGCA